rfam:Trichoderma reesei QM6a unplaced genomic scaffold TRIREscaffold_8, whole genome shotgun sequence.
GGCGAGAUGGCCGAGUUGGUUAUGGCGUCAGGUUAAGGCUACCUUAACAAGCAAUUCCUGGUGGAGCAAUCCGCGUGGGUUCGAGUCCCACUCUCGUCA